GGGGGCGACCUGGUUUCGACGUGGAUUACAAAGCCAUCGGAGCAUGUCGAGGUGCAGAUCUCCUCGUAAAUCCAACUGCAAACUAUUAGUUGCCAACGACGACAACUACGCCCUGGCGGCUUAA
rnacentral:tmRNA from 1 species